GAUGAACGCUGGCGGCGUGCCUAAUACAUGCAAGUCGAGCGAACGGACGAGAAGCUUGCUUCUCUGAUGUUAGCGGCGGACGGGUGAGUAACACGUGGAUAACCUACCUAUAAGACUGGGAUAACUUCGGGAAACCGGAGCUAAUACCGGAUAAUAUUUUGAACCGCAUGGUUCAAAAGUGAAAGACGGUCUUGCUGUCACUUAUAGAUGGAUCCGCGCUGCAUUAGCUAGUUGGUAAGGUAACGGCUUACCAAGGCAACGAUGCAUAGCCGACCUGAGAGGGUGAUCGGCCACACUGGAACUGAGACACGGUCCAGACUCCUACGGGAGGCAGCAGUAGGGAAUCUUCCGCAAUGGGCGAAAGCCUGACGGAGCAACGCCGCGUGAGUGAUGAAGGUCUUCGGAUUGUAAAACUCUGUUAUUAGGGAAGAACAUAUGUGUAAGUAACUGUGCACAUCUUGACGGUACCUAAUCAGAAAGCCACGGCUAACUACAUG
rnacentral:rRNA from 1 species